rnacentral:misc_RNA from 1 species
UGUGUUGCUUACCUAUCGAAAGGUAUUGGAUCGUAUUAUUGCCCAUUUCCGCCCGAUGCCCUCUGUGGGUGUGGGGUGGACGCCAGGCAUGCUACGUGUUCCUUGCAUGCCCUGCCUUGUUGCGGGGCUGUUGAGGCGCACGGAGUUGUUGCUCGUUCUUUCGGAUGCGGAAUGUCAUGCAUGGGUGCGGGGUCUCGGCCUCGUCUUGCCCAAGCUAUGCAUUUGUCCAUUGACACGAACGACUGCUGUGGCCGUCUUGAUCCCGUUGUAGCCUAUGUGCUCGAUGGGGUUCAUGCGGUCGUCGGCGUCGUCGAGGAAUGCUACCUGGUUGAUCCUGCCAGUAGUCAU